rnacentral:lncRNA from 1 species
GGGGCGUCUAGCUCUGGUGGUAAAGGGUUCACAGCUGUGAGUACCGCCACCUAGGUUCGAUUCCCGGCCACUGCGAAAUUUAACAUUCGGGCCGCAGCGACACAGAUUAGUCCCUUGGGCCUGGGAAGCCUUUGGGGAAACUGUGUAUAAUUCAAAAAAAAUAAAUGAUUUGUUCAGUACAUAGGUAAAGUGUGGGGGAAAUGAAAAGAAGAGAAAUCCGGCGUUUAAGGAGUUAUGACGCAGCCAGAAUGUUCUUGGUCAACGCGUAUUUGCCUUAAACGCACAAAAUUAUUAAUAUCGUAUUUGGUUUAAAUUAGAAUAGGGAAAUCUGCCAAUCUUUGGACAUAUAAAAACAAUAUCCACAAAUAUGAUUCUUUAUAAAAUACAGCUGUACUAAAGAAAAUACAGCAAGAAAUGUUGAAAAGAAAAGAUGACAUGCUAGAAAGAAAUUAUGUAUCAUAUAAGGUCAAUUAUAUACUGGUAAACGUAUAAAUAAUACUAAUAUGUAAUGGGUGAUGAAUGACGAGUGGUGUUAGUCUGAAUAACAAAAGCAUUCUUUUAAAUAUUAUGCAGUAUAUUGCUUACACCAUCAAUAUCAUUUCAUACCUAAAAAUGUAUUAUAUUUGGAAUUUCCAUCAAUAAUUGAUAGAAAUUCAACAAUUAUUUUUUUUAGAAAAGAACAAUAAUACAGAGACAAAAAAAUCAAUAAAUAAAAUAAAUACAUAGAUCAAGUACU